rnacentral:rRNA from 1 species
AAUACUAUUUGGAGCAAGAUUUGGAAAUUAUCUUGUCCAACAAAAAUGAAGAUCUUUAUUUGGCGUACCUUACAUGGAACCCUCCCAUGUUGUGUUACACUUGCUAAUAGACAUAUGAAAGUUUUGCCCACCUACCCAUCAUGUUCGAACGGGCAUGAAGAUACUAAACACUUAUUAUUUUUAUGUCAAAAGGCAAAAGAGGUGUGGGAGAAACUGGGAUUGCACGAAGCCAUUAAAAAAGCCUGUGCGGUCGAUCGUGCGGGAGAGGCAAUACUUGAAUUUCUAAUUUUUAUGCCAGAACAUGAGCUAUCUAUAGUGGGCAUACAAAAUGUUCGCGAACUGAUCGCUAUAACAGCCUGGUAUUUAUGGUGGGAAAGACGUUCGCUAGUUCAUCAGGGGAAGACCCAAGAUGCAUACCAAAUUUCGAUGGGAGCCCAUGCUAUAACGACGAACUAUGUUAUUGCCCAAUCCUCCAAGGCAACAAAUAAAAUAGAGGGAUGGACAAGACCCCCUCUAGGUUUUGUGAAAUUAAAUGUCGAUGCUUCUUUCGAUCAAGACAUGCUUAGAGGCACAACGGGAGCUGUACUUACAGAUGAUAAAGGAAGAUUUAUUGUUGGAGGAAAUUGGAAGAUGGAUUGGUGUGCAGAUGUUUUAACAGCAGAAGCCAUGACACUACGUUUUGGCUUAUUACUUGCACAAAAGGCGGGAAGUAACCGACUUGUUGUUAACUCCGACAAUAUGGAAGUAAUUGACACGACAAAGAAUGGAGGACAUACAGCGGGAGCGGCGGCAGCUGUGUUUGAUGAUUGUUAUUUUUUGGCUUGUGAUUUUUUUGUUAGUUAG